rnacentral:rRNA from 1 species
GUGAGGAAUAUUGGUCAAUGGGCGCAAGCCUGAACCAGCCAUGCCGCGUGCAGGAAGACGGUCCUAUGGAUUGUAAACUGCUUUUAUUUGGGAAUAAACUCCGGUACGUGUACCGGCCUGAAGGUACCAAAUGAAUAAGCACCGGCUAACUCCGUGCCAGCAGCCGCGGUAAUACGGAGGGUGCAAGCGUUAUCCGGAAUCAUUGGGUUUAAAGGGUCCGCAGGCGGUCUUAUAAGUCAGUGGUGAAAGCCUACAGCUCAACUGUAGAACUGACAUUGAUACUGUAGGACUUGAAUUCGAUCGAAGUGGGCGGAAUGUGACAUGUAGCGGUGAAAUGCUUAGAUAUGUCACAGAACACCGAUAGCGAAGGCAGCUCACUAGGUCUGGAUUGACGCUCAGGGACGAAAGCGUGGGGAGCAAACAGGAUUAGAAACCCCGGUAGUCC